CUAUUUUUACUUUAUAUGUUUUGUUUGCAUGCAUGUAUCAAGUGUAUUGCAGUGCUCCUGGAGACCAGAAGAGGGCAUUGGAUCACCUGGGACUGAACUCGAUAUGUGUGCUGGCAAUGGAACCCAGGUCUUCUGCAAGAACAGCAAGCAUUUUCCAGCUCUCCAGCCCCAGGCAUUAGAGUUCAUAUUCCUCGGUGCUUUUUCUAACCCCAGAAAUGACCCUCUGACACCACCAUCUCGGAAGGACCUUCCGCCUCAGAAAGGGCAUCCGGUUGCUAAACUACUCUGUUCUCCAUGAAUGAUCUGGGCAGGACCUGAUACCCCCAGCUGUUGUUUUGAUCAGCCCUGGCCUUGAGUGUCAUGGAAUACAGUCACCAUUGGCCCAGCUCUCCUUCUCGAUGCUGGGACAGCUGGCCAGCGUUUUUCAAAGGGGAGCCAGGCUGCGAUGGAGGUAGCAGGAGAGAAGGCAGGGAGGUGCUGAAAAUUGAUCUGGGUCCCCUGAAAGAGCAGCCAGUACUCCUAACCACUGAGCCAUCUCCCCAGCUUCCUGUUUGGUUUGUUUGAGACAAGGUUGUACUGUGCCGUCCUGGCUGAUGAGCUGUAGAGAAAUGCCGACAGGCUGGAAGUACUGCACAUCCGAACCAGCUCUCUUUAGAAGUCAGAUAUCUACUGUGUUCGAGCAGCAGAGAAACAUUUUCUGUCCUCCUGGAAAGAGGCAGCCUAGAAUAGUCUAUAUCAUCUGUACCUGUGGAAGUCAGAACGGUGAGAAAAAAGUCCUAUGAGAAAAAAGCUGUCUCCCAGUGGGAGUCCUGUCCCCACUGUGACAACAGAACCCCCAGGAGAGCAAGCUGGAGGCUGGAGGAGCC
rnacentral:lncRNA from 1 species